rnacentral:RNase_P_RNA from 1 species
GGAGUCAGCUGGGCGGCCGCGGCAGAUGUCGAGGAACGUCCGGGCACCACAGGGCAGAACGGUGGGUAACGCCCACCCGGGGUGACCCGCGGGAAAGUGCAACAGAAAGUAGACCGCCGCACCCGGUGCGGUAAGGGUGAAAGGGUGGUGUAAGAGACCACCGGCGUCUGCGGUGACGUAGGCGGCCAGGUAAACCCCGUUCGGUGCAAGACCAUGCAGCAGGUAUGCGGCCCGUAUAAACCUGCGGGUAGGUUGCUAGAGCUACACGGUAACGUGCAGCCAAGAUAGAUGGUCGCCGCCGCGAAUGCGGAACAGAACCCGGCGUAUAGGCUGACUCACCCU